AGGGGUUGCUCAAAUUGCAAAAACAAAUUUGACAACAAUAACAUCACUUUUUUACGUUUCUCUGUCAAGCAUGUUUAAAUCUUACAAACAUCGCUUGAUUGUGGCCGAUGUGAGACCUGCAUGUUUUAAUCAGGUUGAGGAAGCAUGACUUUAUUAUAAUUUCUGGUGAGGCUCCUCCCUCUGGAAUUCUCCUCCCCAAAACUUUUGGAGGGAAAAUUCAAAUGUAACAGGACACAGGACAGUUAGAUGAGCAGAGGACACACAGUGUGGAGCAGGAGGAUUAUGAGAGCUGAUCUGGAGAGUCGUCUACAAAGAGUGACAUCCAGAGCUCUGCUGGAGCUAUGGGGAAGUUCAUGAAUGUUAUAGUUGAUGUUUCAGAAAAAAGGAAGAUGUUUGAGAACCAACAAAACACAGACCACAGAUGAACAAAGUGAUGUGGCAUUAGGAGGACUUUAUACCAGAUGCCCUCCCUGUUACUGUGUUUAGAGGAAGAAAAGCAGCACAUGGCAGAGACCAGAGCUUCUUCACUGGAAUAAAUCUUCUCACUGUCCAGCUCCAAACUGUGUAUCUCUGUCCCUGUGCUCUCUUUGUGUUUGAUUCUGUUUAAGACAAUACAGAACUGUGG